rnacentral:lncRNA from 1 species
AUGCUGGAUCAUGAGGCUGGAGCCGACAUGCGACUGGUCCGUAAGAUCAACACAGGCAUGAAGAUCCACGCCGGGGGUGAGCACAUGGGCUGCAGCAAGGUGGAAGACAACCAGGACAACCAGGUCAUCUGUUUGCAAUGUCAAGAUGAGGUGAUGCGGGUUUGUCCGGGGAGUCCGCGCAGUCCUCGCCGCGCUAUCGCGACGCGCCUCUCAUCCGGAUCCGCAGGCUGAAAUGUGGGUGUGGUGAUCCACUGUGCUCAAAGUGAGUCCAUGGGACGACCCAAGGCACACACACAGAAGUAGUGGAACACCUCACAAAUUCUCACAGAGGAGACACCGAGAUCUGCACUACCACAUACUACACUUUUUUAUUUUAAAUAUAAUUGCAUGUUGUACAAAAGACACUGCAUCAGAGUACGGGUGCUAUUUUUUCAGUGAACAUUUUGCCGUGGUGUAAUUCAUUCAUCUGAUGUUAAAUUAAUGAUGUGGCUGGAAGCUGCUCAGAGGCUGAUAUGGUUUGUUCAGCGGUGUGCUCACUCCAAAGCCCAUAGCUUUGGAAAUAAAUGAUACCUGCAGCUUUAUCUCUACACCGGGACGGGAAUGUGAGUGCUUAAAAAUAUUCCCAGUCGGUGAUAAAUGUCUACAUUGUGCUGCAUUUGCUCUUUUUUGAUGCAUCUGUAGGUGUUAGAUAGGAAAAUAAAGGAAAUUAGAGUUUGUUUUUUUAAAGUUGUCUUAGUGCUUAAAUGAGAAACAGCAGUUCAGGUGUUCAUUUAUCAGUCCCAGGCAAAAGUGUUGGGUAGUAUCUUUCAGGAGGUGACUGCAGUGCCAGAGAAAGUCUUCUGCUCUGCUGAGGCAGAUUAAUGACUUAACCUCUGUCUCCCAGAGGAAAAUUGGUGUUCCACAUCAGGCCUUCAGUUUCCACUGUCAGGUUUAUCUUAUUAAUUGGAGCCUCGGUUAACAAAGCCCCUCAAAAUGAAGUUUUUCAAACUGUGCCAAUCAAAAUAAGGCGCAGAUAAGGUCGCUUCACUUUUUCUACUAUCACCAGUUUUGUUAUUGCAGAGUUCUCCCAUAGAUUUAAAUGACUGAUUAUGUGAGUGCAAAUUGUCUCUGUCUUAUAACAGUUCUGACAGUUACACUGUAGUUACUUAUUGUCAGUGAUGGUAUGAAGAGAAUGCUAAAAAAUAGAAAAUAUGAGCACAUCUACAACCUGCAGGAGUUGUUGGGUUAGGUUUGCCUUUUUAUUACAUAACCAAAACUGUAACAUUAAGUGUACACCUGCUUUUCGUCUAAUGAUAAUGCACACUGAAGCCAUGUCUUAGAUCAUGUUACUGGUCACAUGACGCUCAGUCAAACAGAACAUAUACAUUAAACUCAUGGUAUUCAUUUUGCCAUGAUGUAAAUUGGCUGUGAGAACAAAACAGUAGGAAAACUUACUUCAAAAGAACAUUUCUGUGGUAAAACUGAACAGCUAGC